rnacentral:rRNA from 1 species
AGGAGUGCUAAUGCCGCAUGAUGCAGUUGGGUCGCAUGGCUCUGACUGCCAAAGAAUUUAUCGCUCUGAGAUGGCCUCGCGUCUGAUUAGCUAGUAGGCGGGGUAACGGCCCACCUAGGCGACGAUCAGUAGCCGGACUGAGAGGUUGACCGGCCACAUUGGGACUGAGACACGGCCCAAACUCCUACGGGAGGCAGCAUG